GCCUUUUACAGUUGACGUUAGGUGUUGAUAAUUUUCAUAGUUGAAUGCCGCUCGUUGGUCGAUGAGAUUCACUUCAUAUAAACUUUGGUUGUAAGUUGUCUUAUUUUCAAUCAUACCACUUAUUUUUAUUUUUAUAAUUUAUAAGUUGAUACCUUUUUUUAUAUAUAAUCUGAGUUUACUUUAUCUAAAAACACAUCGAGUAAACUUCAAAAGACAAAACGGUAUUUAUAAAUAUAUAUAAUAUAUGUAUGGACCGCUUUGGUCGUUCUAACCGCUAUUUUCACGCUAGAGGAUGAUAGUUUGACGCUGAUGAACUAUUGAAUAACGGUAAGUAAGUGUUUGACGGCAUUCAAGGACGAUUGUUUGACGAUGAUGGACUAUUAGAUGACGGUAAAGUAAGUGUUUAAUGCUAAAGGGCGAUAGUUUGACGCUUAUGUACUAUUGGAUUACGGUUAAGUAAGUGUUUGACGCUUCAGGACCAUUGUUUGACGCUAAAGUACGGUUGUUUGACGCUCAGAUACGAUUGUAUGACGCCGAAGAACUAUUUUUUUAUACUUUAGUACGGUUGUAAUGUUAUCUUAUUAAACAACGAUGUAUUGUAUUAUCUUCCAUAUUUUUAUGUUCCUAUGUCGAUGAAGAAGUGUUUUUUUCAUAAUUUUAAGUUAAUUAAUCUUCGUCAGUUUGAAGGAGGAUGAAAUAGGAAUAUUUAGCCUUAAUCAGUAAAUUUUUACUGAGUUCACAUAUACUUUCAAUGUAUUCUUGUUAAUUUUAUGUUCCAAACACCGUUUAAAGAGAUGUACACUAUAAAUUGAUUAAACUAUGCUAUAAAUAUGUUACUUACAGAAAACAUCGGCAUUGCUACACGGCUAGAAGAUAAUGGAAUGGUCAAAAGUAUAGCCGAUCAACCAACAGAAGAACUUCAGAUUAGAAAUUGAUGCAGUUGCGGACUAUGCAAGCAAAUGAAUAAGAUGAUCACAAACUUGACACUUUAUCUAAAGUGAUUAAAGUUGAUCGAUGAUACAUUCAGACGCACGUUCAAUAUCUAUGACGUUGCGAUGAUUACGCAGAUUUCUAACCAUUUCAAACUAGCACGGGAUGUGAAUGCUUUACUGUCAUCCUCACGACAAAUUCAAUGUAAUUCCAGUAAAAUAAAUCUUAAACAGCAUUGCUUUCUUGUUUCAUUUAGGAAUGGGAUGCAAUGUAAAACUAUGAAUCUCACAUACAUCCUUCACAUAAUUAACAUUAUCCUCAAAAGAUAAGAUUUUUAUAAAUCACAUAUCCGUCUCAUUUCUCCUCCGGUAAUGACAUAACACAUGAU
rnacentral:lncRNA from 1 species